rnacentral:lncRNA from 1 species
GGGAGGCGGCCGACGGCGGGAGUUGGGGGGGGCGGGGCCCCGGCCUGGGGAACGGUCGCGGAGGGCGGGGCGGCCCGGUAGAGGCCACGACCGUGCAGACCGGCCGCCGCCAGAAGAGAGGAAGCGUGAGAAACGACGACACCCUGCCGGUGGCGACAACGUGGACCCAAGGCCCUCGUGUACAAACUGAAAAACACACAGAGACACAACGCUGAUGUAGCAGCGACACCGGCGGGUCACUGUCGUGCACCUGAGACCAGUGGAGCACGUGUGCCAAGUGCACUUCCGCUGAAAGAGGAAGGGAGCAAAUCCGUGCCCACUGCCAGGACAUCAAGGGUGUGAGAACGGCCACGCGCAUGACCAGGAUUCCCUGAAAAGGCCUCGCUGGCAUCCCGUCCCCGGUACGUGGACUCACGGAGGGUUGGUGUGGGGUCCUCGGGCAGACCUGGGGGUGGCCUCCCGGGAGGGCGAGCUAGGCCCCCGCAGGCAGGAGUCACUUCCUGGAUGGCCCAUGAGCAUCCCUGGGUCCUACGGGAGGAGCGUGACCCGGGGAGGAGAGCCCAGCGCGGGGAGGUUUUGGUCAGACAGACAGACAGACGUGGCUUCGGAAGACUCCCCAGCCGACAGAUGCAGCUGCCUUCCUGCUGCCCUAUCACCUGGACCGGCUUCUGAGUCCCCAAACCCUGCUGGGUGGGCUUCUCCCCUCUGUCGUUGACAGAGACGCCGAGCGGGGAGGCUAGGCGCCCCCUCAAAGCCGCAGAGCCAACAAGGGGCCGGGGUCCUAGGCCCG